rnacentral:tRNA from 1 species
GGGCUGGGGCUGAGCGGUAGAGCACGCGCCUAGCACGCGCAAGGCCCUGGGUUCGAUCCUCAGCACCACA